CGGCUGUCUGCUAUCAAGCCGUCAUCCAGAACCAGUUAUGGCUGCAAAAACUCAUGAGCAUACAAAGAAGAUCAGAUCCGCUACCAACAGCACGUGGAUUCACAGCUUUACAGAGGAACCAACGACAAGAAGCUGUUGCAAUAUCACCUUGGAGAGACAGUGAAAACAGCCUACAAAGCGAUGAGGAAAUGCAACUGCUACACUUCAAUGUCGAGCAAAAACAGCAAAGUAGAGGAUAAUCCAUUAGGUUCCUACAACUUCAAAAGGAGAACCCUUUCCUGUUGCUGACGCAAGUUUCAUCACUGAGGGGAUUAUGUUCCCAUUGGAGUUUUUUAAACAAAAAGGUUGUGUUAUUGCUACUGUCACUCUGUUGCCCUCAGCAAAGAAAAGAAGGACCUGUUGUCUG